rnacentral:ncRNA from 2 species
CAUCGCUUCAGGGCGGGGUGCAAUUCCCCACCGGUGGUAAGUUCAGCAAUUGAUAAUGACUGAAUCAGCCCACGAGCCUAUCGUUUAACCGCGAUUCGCAGAUUUGGUGAGAAACCAAAGCCGACGGUAUAGUCCGGAUGAAAGAAGACGACG